rnacentral:rRNA from 2 species
UACGUAGGGGGCGAGCGUUAUCCGGAAUUAUUGGGCGUAAAGCGCGCGCAGGCGGCUGAUUAAGUCAGGUGUGAAAGGCUGCGGCUCAACCGCAGAGCGGCACCUGAAACUGGUCAGCUUGAGUGCAGGAGAGGGGAGCGGAAUUCCCGGUGUAGCGGUGGAAUGCGUAGAGAUCGGGAGGAACACCAGUGGCGAAGGCGGCUCUCUGGCCUGUAACUGACGCUGAGGCGCGAAAGCGUGGGGAGCAAACAGG